rnacentral:rRNA from 1 species
GACAGAGGGUGCAAACGUUGUUCGGAAUUACUGGGCGUACAGCGUGUGUAGGCGGUCUCAUAAGUCGGAUGUGAAAGCCCCGGGCUCAACCCGGGAAGUGCAUUCGAAACUGCGAGGCUAGAGUAUCGGAGAGGUUGGUGGAAUUCUCGGUGUAGAGAUGAAAUUCGUAGAUAUCGGGAAGAACACCCGUGGCGAAGGCGGCUCUCUGGGACGGUACUGACGCUGAGACGCGAAAGCGUGGGGAGCGAACAGG